rnacentral:tRNA from 1 species
AGCCCGGUAGUGUAGUAUGGUCAAUCAUCCGAGGCUCUGGACCUUGGGACCGCGGUUCGAAUCCGCGCCGGGCUACCA